AUGCAAAUGGAGGUCAUAUACCUCGGCGUAGCUCUUGUGUCCAUGUCAAUUGUGCUUUUUGUUGCUAGGUGCAGCCGCAAGGCGAACGAGCCGCCCGGGCCGUGGCAGCUGCCUCUGAUUGGCAGCCUGCACCACCUCGCCCUCUCCAGGCAGCUUCCCCACCACGCGAUUUGUGAACUAGCGCGGCGCCAUGGGCCGGUGAUGCUCCUCCGGCUCGGCGAGGUGCCCACGCUUGUGGUGUCGUCCAGGGAGGGUGCCCGCGAGCUGAUGAAGACCCACGACCUGGCGUUCGCCACGCGGCCCCUGAACGCCACCAUGCGCGUGCUCACCGACGGCGGCCGGGACAUUGUGUUCGCGCCAUACGGCGAGUACUGGCGCCAGCUCAGGAAGAUCGCCGUCUCUGAGCUGCUUUCGGCAUCACGCGUCCUGUCUUUCCGCGCUGUCCGCAAGGAGGAGGUCGCCUCCAUGCUCCGCGAUGUCGCCCAAGCUGCGGCGGCUGGGCGCCUUGUGGAGCUGCGCGCGCGCGUCUCGGCGCUCGUCACCGACAUCACGGCCCGCACCGUCAUGGGUGACCGCCGGUUCAAGGAGCGUGCGGUGUUCCUUACCGCCCUCGAACGCUCUGCGAAGCUCUCAGCGGGGUUCAACCCACCAGACCUGUGGCCGCCGUCCAGACUUGUUGGCUGUCUCAGCGGGGCCGUGCGCCGCGCCAAGGAGUGCUCCAAUACCGGGAAUGGCGUCUUCAACGCCAUCAUCCGUGGGAGGACCAUGGGAGGCCAGAAGGAGCACAACUUGCUCGAUGGUCUUCUAAGCAUGCAGAAAGAGGGCAUGAUCGACCUGGACGCCGUUAAAUACGUCGUCUUGGAAGUAUUCAGCGUUGGUAAUGACACAACAGCGACGACACUGGAGUGGGCGAUCACAGAGCUGGUCAGGAACCCUGAAGUGAUGCGGAAGGCGACAGCCGAGGUCAGGCCCGUGGCGCCGUGGCAGAGCAUGCCCUCGGCAAGCUCCCCUACAUGCACCUCGUUAUCCGGGAGACACUGCGGCUGCACACGCCCGUGCCGCUGCUGCUCCCGCGGCAAUGUCAAGAGCCAUGCCAGGUGCUCGGUUACGACGUGCCGCAGGGCACGCAGGUGCUGGUGA
rnacentral:rRNA from 1 species